AGAUGGCCGCGGUGUGUGCUGAAUGUGACUACAACUAUUAGAAAUUCAUCAAAAAAUUUGAUCUGGACGACAAAUACUGCAUUCCUCUUCGUAACAAGUCACGGUGUCCUCCCUUUACAAGUACAGUGCCCGCACCGUACAGUUCCCUGUACUUAUAGGAAGAACAGGCAUUCUUGGUAUUUUGGCAGGUGGACGAAAAUAUUUAUAGCCAAGGCAAAGAAAAGAUGGCAGUAUAAUUUAAUGAUUUCGGGCUACAAAGGAGCUUUUCUCGACAGAACUCACCUCAAACCGGAAAUAACAUGUUUUGUUAACUACCGGCUUUAAAAAAAUAGAAUCAUGACACUGUUUAUAAAUGUUUGAACUGGGCUCCCGGUAUCAGUGUUGACUGGAUAAGUUUUUGCUCUGAGGUGACCGAGUGGUGGUUUGACGAUCAGGAUUGUAUUGGUGGUGAAGGGAUUGAGGUAGAGAUCGAUGAGACCUUUACUUGUAAAGUGCAAAUACACUCGCGGUUGCAUGAUGACGCAAGUUCGGAUAUAGUACUGAGCGAGUCUUCAAAAAGUGCUUCAUUGUGUCUUUCGUUGACAAGGACAGGAAUGUACGCUGGUAUCCAUUAUCAAACAAUGAAUCCGGUCUGGGAGUGUAAUUUAUAGUGACUCAUGGUGUACGUAUAACAAACUGUGCGAUGAAGGGUACACCCACUACAUGAUUAAUCACAAAGAACACUGUGGAUACAAACAAUCUCAAUAUCCACACUCCGAACAAAGCGGCUGUGGUUGGACCUGGAACAGUGAACGAAGCGGCCAGGGUUGAGGAGCGAGUACUUCAAGCAGUACUUUGCUCGUUAUAUGUUCCUUCAUACAUUCAAGUUAGAACAACUUAAUUUUUUUCAUCGAAGCCGCCCGACCUUACCGCACAACUGGACAGACAGCGGCCAGCUAGCCGCUGCGUCAUCCCAAUCUCUACAGCAACAGCGCCAUAUCCACAACCACUAACCUCUCGCCCAUAAGGAAAGGAAAAGGAAUCUUGAUGAGAAAAAGAUCAGAGACAAGGAGAGAGAAGCUGAAAUGGUCCAGCGUGAGAUCUUGUCACUGGAGAAGCGCGUUGAUGGUUUCAGUGUGGAAACACUCACUGAGAAGAUGCAAUUCAACAGUGGAGGAUGUUACUUUCUGACAAAGGUGCCUACUGCCUUGAGACACAGAGACAGUAACCACCACCAUCACCACCACCAUUCAGCUACAUCACUCGUCUCGUCCAGGUUGUCAAAUUGAUGGUCUGGAGUUCCCCAGGGCCAGGGUAACUUUAUAAGGACAUCUAAUGCAGGGAUGUCAAAUUCUUAUUCUUCCAUUUGCUCAGUCUUGCAUGUUUUACUACUCUGUCUCACUUUUAUGCUCUCUUACAUCCCAUUCUAAGUCCUCUCCAUUUUGAACGAUCAUACUCCAGUCAGUCUUGGAUCUGUGGAUCUCCUGUUGCUCAUACAAAACAUAUGGUUCUGGAGAAAAGGGCAUGUCCUGGGGAAGGAAAAUCCAUCCCAGAUGCAUUCUGCCUCUUUGAAUUUACUCUUUUGUUGUGACUUUUAACAGUAUGUUAUUUAUUUAUUUAUUUAUUUUUCACUGAGUUAUUGACCAUUUUGCAAAUGAUAAAUAUGUUUUAUCCUCUAAUUCAGCUUUAUUGUUGAAAACAUGACAGACAGACUGAGUGUUAUCAGUAAUAUAGAUAAAAUUUUACCCUUAUUCAUAAGCACUAUACAUUAACAUGUAA